ensembl:lncRNA
CACACACACACACACACACACUAUAUAAACUAUAUAUUCACAGGAACUAUGUAUAUAUAUAAAAUGUAGAGUGCGUCCGGGGAGUAUUCACAGCGCUUCACUUUCCCACAUCGUGUGAUGUUACAGUCUUAUUCCAAAAUUCAACUCAUUAUUUUCCUCAGAAUUCUACAAACUACACCCCAUAAUGACCACGUGAAAGAAGUUUGCACUGUAUAUCUGCUGGAGCUUGCAACGUUUAAAAUGAACCGCAGAUUUCCCACAGGUUCGGCCCAAGGCGCAUCGUUCAGCCAACGCUGUCUUCGAUUCAGGUGCGAACACACCUACAGCUAAAAGCGCUCUUUACCAACAGACAUCACUGUAAAAGAGUGCGCGAAACUAUUUCAUGUGACUGCGAUGUCGCCGAAUCGAGUAAUUUCCCGCAAAAAAAAAAAAGCAGCCGCAAAAUCGAACGUCCCAAAAAACCCAGCACGGAAUCCUGUACAGACUGAACGCGCUAAUGAUAUUUUCAUUUCACACAAAAGAGAGAUGUAGCGUCUGAGAAAAACGACAGCAACUGAUACAGAGUGUAAUACUGAACUCUGUUAUAAUCUUUAUUUUUGUAACUACAGGUAAAGUGCAUUUCUGUAGACGUGUGCGUGUGUGUGUGCGCGCGUGCGUGUUACGGUACUCAUAUCUCCUCCGGUUUUACCGUAAGGUGUGUAAAAGCUCUAAUUGGAGCAGGCGCUGAGAUAUGUGAGAGCUUAAACAAAUGGAUUUAUAAAUAAACGGUGUGUGGAUGGCGUGAGGCCGGGGUAAGAGUGCCACAGCUAUGGAUUUCUGCCUCUAUAAAGGUGUGCAGUCGAUGCGGCGCUGGGCGCGCGCACACGCUAUCCAUCGCUUUAAACGGGGCACGCGAGUGCCAUCACGCUGAGCAUUAGCAGGCCUCGGCCAUCUCGGGUUUCUAAUGCGGGGUCUUUAUAGAUGUCCGGAUAUCGAUGCGACAGCGAGAGUCGUGCAGGCCGGUUUUCAUUAGCGGGGGAAAAAAGAGGAGUUUUUUCUUCACGAGGAUGGAGAUAUGGAUCGAGUUUCCCACUUCCGGCUCCCUCGAGAGCUGCAAUGACACUCCGGAGAAGACGCGGCUGCCAGAGAUGGAAUUAGCCGCUGGAGUUUGGAGACAUCCGCCGAUAGAGAAAUUAGUUAUCGAUCGGAGGCUGGUUAGCACUGCACGAUGCAGAUUUCAUUUAAUAAAAGAGGCUUUACAGAGAGAGAGAGAGAGAGAGAGAGAGAGAGAGAGACUUCCGGUGGUGCAGGCUGCAUCAGCAGCAGAACAAAAAAAGACGUAGUAUUAUUAAUACGGAUAAACACGCAGCUCUCGUUAGGCGUGUGUUAGAGAUCGCUGAAGACAGGGACGCUGCUGAAAAGUCAUUAAUGUCAGCUGUGGGCUUUUAAUAAGUGCGCUGUCUGCACGUAAUCCUGCUCGCGCUCUCUCGCUCUCUCUCUCCCUCUCUCUCUCCCUCUCUCUCCGCUGCACUGAGGUGAGUUUAUUAGCGCUCCAGCUGCAGAGACGCCGCGCUCGGUCUCCCCCGACCCCCCGACAGCCGCUCAAUUAAAACACAGUGACUGCGGCGCCUCUUUUCAUGUCAACAGCGUAUAAUUGUUUUCUGAGAUGUUGCUAACUCCCCG